rnacentral:lncRNA from 1 species
CAAGCUAACAACGUCCUCUUCCUCGACAUGUGAGUAUGCCCUUCUUAACCGUUGCUGCACCUUGAAAAUUGAGCUAGAGCCUUCUCCAUCACCGGGUAUCUCAAAAGCUGGAAGAUUCUCGGAAAUGUUUUGGAGCUCGGUCUUGAUUGCUUUGACCUGCACCCCGAUUUUGUGCAGAUGAUAAGGUUUGGUGAAAAUGGAGGUGAACCUCUUGACAAUCCCAUGAGAAUCUCGUUGAUAUGCUGCUUUAAGAAUAAAAGAGUCGAUGACAUCUUCAGCAUCAUAAGCAAGAUCUCUGAUUUCCGACACCCGAUUCUGUAAACGCGCAUCUUGUUCAAGAUUGCGAUCCGCGUCCUUCAAGAAACACUGCGUUCGCUUCAGUUCAGCCCUUAGGCUCUCAACUUGAUCUUUCACAUCUUUGAGGAAAACAGCUUCAUGGAUGAGUAAAUCUGAAAUUCUUUCAACAGCUAAGGACACAAUAGCCUCUUCCAUUUCUCCUGCUCGUCCAGAACAGAUUCCACAAACUGAUCUGCAAGUAUUAGUAGAUUAUUUUAUGUAUUAGUGGUGGAAGUAUUUCUCUUCAUCAGAAGUUUUGGAGAUUUAUUUUUGGGGGUGAGGUUGAUAGUUAUUUUUCUUUGGACAGUAAAUAGCUGAACAUAUUAUUAUUAUGAUUAUUAUUAUUAUUAUUAUUAUUAAUGUGAAGAAAACGUAAGGUAAAGUUAUCAUCACUGACAUUAUAAAAUUAUUAUAAAAUUAAUAGGCCAACCUCAAUUCAAUUCUUCCAAAAAAAUAUUAUUCAAAUAUUCAAAAGUUUUUAUUUAAGUUACUAAAUUAUUUAAAAAAUUUUAUUUAAAUAAUUGAACUAUUAAGUCUGUUGACACCAUUUUUUUGAUGAAAACGGGGUCAACUUGGGUUUUAAAAAGUGAAAAUGAAAACGGGAAUCGCCACAAAUCCUUUUUGAUAAGGUGUGAUCCGGUCACCUUGAAAAGUGGUUGUAUUUAAUAAACGAUUUGACUUUAUUAAAACAACGAUUUUGGUCCACAAAAUUUAGAAAAACAGGUUUGAGAGUCGGUUAUGCACGAGGAAAUAUUAGCACCCUCGAUACGCCCAAAAUUGGUACCUAGUUGAUUACUUAUGUCUUAGUGUCGAAAAAUUGAAAACUUUAAAGAGAUUUAAAAUACGAUCCUAAAAAACUUGAAUGACAUGGAUUAAGAUUUAAGAGUAUAUUUGGCUAUUUGGUCCAACGAGAAAUCGAAACCCAGCACAUUAGGGCACGUUUUCUCGAAGUUCCAAACGCAAAACAUUGCCUUAUUUUGAAAUUAUUAAAAGGAUAUUUGGAUAUUUGGUCAAACGAGAAAAUCGAAACCCAACACAUUAGGGCACAUUUUCUCAAAUCUCCAAGCGCAAAACAUUACCUUACUUUGAAAAUUUAAAAGGAUAUUUAGCUAUUUGGUCGAACGAAAAAAGUCGAAACCCAGCACAUUAGGGCACGUUUCUCAAAUCUCCAAACGCAAAAUAUUACCUUACUUUGAAAAUUUAAAAGGAUAUUUAGCUAUUUGGUCGAACGAAAAAAAUCGAAACCCAGCACAUUAGGGCACGUUUUCUCAAAUCUCCAAACUCAAAAUAUUACCUUACUUUGAAAAUUUAAAAGGAUAUUUAGCUAUUUGGUCGAACGAAAAAAAUCGAAACCCAGCACAUUAGGGCACGUUGUCUCGAAUUUCCAAAUGCAAAACAUUGCCUUUAUUAUUUUUUAGAAAAAUCCUCAUCCCGAGAAAACAACGUGUCAUAUCCAAUGCGUUAGGACACAACGUAUUGAAUUCCCGAUAAUGAGCUUUUUAUUUAUGUUUUUAAAAGAGUAACCUCGAUUAUUUAGAUUCAACGAAGAAAAUCAGAACCCAAUACGUUGGGGCUCGAUUCUCUCGAAGAUCCCAAAUAUCGAGUAUUACUUAUGUUUUGAAGUUUUUCAUUUUUUUGUCAAACCCGAGUGAAAAUGGAUGUAAAACCAUGAUAAUGAUGAUAAUGUAAAUAAAUAACACGAGCGAAACAAAAGAUAAUUAAAUAAUAAAUGUAAAAACAAUUGUGCAGGCAUAAUAGCAAAUAAUAAACAGAUAAAAACUAAAGCAUGAAAAAAUAAUAGUAACGGACAUGUAAAUAAUUGAGCAAAGUUAACAACAUUAUAAAAAUAUAAAAGAUAUAUAUAUACAUAUAAAAUUAUGAAAAUAUGAAAAACAUAUGCAUGUAUACAUAUUUUAAAAUUAUUAUACAUGAAAAAUUAUGUAAAUAUGUAUGUGCAUACAUACAUACGUAUAUAACAAUUAUCAACUAUAAGAAAGUAUAUAUAUAUAUAGGUACGUACAUAUAUAUAAUAAAUAUAUAUAUACAUAUGGUUACAAAAAUAAGAAUAAGACAUGUAUAUAUAUACUCCAGGUUUAUAAAAUAUAAGAGUAUGUAAAUAUGUAUAUAUAUGCGUAUGAAAAUAAAGCUAACAGAACAGUAAUAGAAACUAGUUAAUGUAUUAAUAAAAUUGUAACGACUAAAUGAAAGGGAAAUAAAACUAAUAAAAAUUGAUGAUAAUAAUAAUAAUAAAUGAUAAUAACAUUAAAAUAAUGAACAAAAUAAUAAAAUUGCUACAAAAGGGACUAAAUUGAAAUGAAACAAAAAAACAGGGCGAAUUCGAAAUAAAAAGACUAAAAAGACUAAAUUGUGACACGCGCGGAAAGAGGGGGACCAAAAUGGUAAAUAAACCAAACCUCCAAAAAUGCGGCACUGCAGUGGACUAAAAUGAGACCAAAAUAAAACUUUGUGGCUAAAUUAAAAUAAAAAAAAUAAUGAAAAAGGGUCAAAUUGCAACGCGCUGCAAAGUUGGAAGGACUGCGCGCGGAAAUAUCCCAUUUGAAAAAAACGUGGAUCCUUGGCAGAGCGGGUCGGGUCUCGAGUCGGAUGGUACAAAACGAUGCCGUUUUGGCGUUUUAAAGGGCUGAGCAAAACGACGUCGUUUUGCUCCCCUAUUUAAACUAAUUUUUUUCAAAAAAAUUCAUUCUUCUCUCUUCUUGGCAAAAAAAAAAAAUCUCAAACACUCUCAACUCCCCUCCCCCUCUCCAGGCACCGGCCUCAGGUCCGGUGAAAGGAUCGUCGUCUGUCGCCGGCGAAGGGGCAAAAGAGUUUUUUUUUUAUUAAUGCAGGCGGUGUGAGCAAUGAAUGCCAUGUAACAUUGAUUUUAACAACUCAAUAACUUAAAUAAAAAUAUUCAAUAGUUUAGUGGUCAUUUUGUAAUUUUUUGAAGUUAAUUGACCAAAACGUAAACUUACUAGUAGUUCAGUGACCUUUGGAAUAGUUUACUCCAAUUAUUUAUUAUUUUCUGUGUUAUUUUUAUACAAUACCUGAAUUACCCAUAAAUAAACUUCACAAUUUUUAAAGUGGAAGAUAUUAGGCUAUUCUUUUUACUCAGCCAAUAUAAAAUUUUAUCAAGAAUGAAAGGACCACUUAGAAAAAUUUGAGAGAAAAUUGAUGAGUGAAAGAAAAUAAAACAAGCAGGGAUGUUUGAGUUUUAAUGGUGAUUUUCUUAAGAAGAGAAAUUUAUUUAUUUGAGGAGGAUAGAUACAUAAUUUACAUAAAAUAAGAUUCAAACUUAAACUUAAAAUUUCAAAAUUUAUAAAAUUAUUUUAAAAUUUACAUAAAAUAAGAUUCAAUUCAAUUCUUCCAAAUUAGUAUAAAAUUACAAAAUAUUUAAUCAUUCAAAGGCAAUUUUUAAAAUAAAAAAGCAAAAUUGCUUUAAAAAAAUGCUUUAGGUGGACACAAAAAGCAAUGGGUGUCAAAAUUCCAAAAGCGUCAACUGAUUUUCCACACAUUGGAAGUAAAAGUUGUUUGCAAUUUCAUUUCGUCCAAAUGACAACUACUUGAACACCCAGCAGUCGUUGCUCAUAAUUGAUAGGAUAAGACCAAAAGAAAAAAAAAUAAUUGUUUGGAUAAAUUAUACUCAAGUUCAUUAAACUAUUAAUAAAUUUAUAUUUUAAAUAUUUAAUUUAGAAAAAUUAUAGUUAUUAAACUAUUCAAUAGUUUUCUUUUAAGUCAUUAAACUAUUUAGAAGUUUUUGUUUAAGUCAUUGAACUAUUAAGUUCUUUUUUUUUAAAAAAAAGAGGCAGUUUGGCUAGCGAGGUUCAAGCGACAAUUUGAUGAACAGUACUAUGAAUCAAUACUCAUCAACGAAUAAAAGAACAUAUAUUAGAUCAUGUCAAUCUAAUGGUCGGUAUCCAAGAACAGAGGAGAGCUGUUUGGAUUUUAACACUGUUAUCUUAGUACAUAGAGUUUCCUGAAUUUACUACAUUUUGAUUUGUGUAACCUUAUUAAAACAAGUCUUCAAUAGAAAGUUGAGUCGCUACUUUGUUCUUAUUGUUUAUAGGAGGAAUAAAUUUCUUAAGCACACAAACUUUUGUGAAUUUAGAUUAAAAAGGGAGUUUAGUUCACAAAAUGUUUGAUUAACCCGACAAUUAGCGCAUUACUAGAUAUGUUACAGUACCGUGUUUGGUUCAAGAUAAAGUUGAAAUAAUUCUAGACUCAAAGAUAUUUAAUUAUUGGUUUGUUCUUAGUAAAUAGUAAAUGAGUAAAAAGUAUUUAAUACUUUAUGAUGAUUUUGACUAAAAAAACUUUAUGGAAUGAUUAAUAUCAUUGAUUAAACGGUUAAAAGUUUCAAAAUAAUUAAUGUCGACUCUUUUUAUAAAAUAUUCGGGUGGGAUGGGCGUCUUAUAGUUUGAACUUGUGUCAAAUGGGUACCUGAUAAAAAAUUUAAUCAUCACUCCAUAUAAGUCAAGAUUAAUAUAACUCUUUUUUAUAAAUUUUGUUACAAGAAAUCGUACAUAUUUUUGUCAUGUCAUAUAAAAGUAUACAUGUUAUAUGUUUUUGUAUCAUCUUACUUUUAAUUGAAAUAGUGAGUUGUAAAUUUAAAGGGGUUGUUUUACAAUUUAAAUAAUGAAUUUAACCAUUUAACAUCUAAUGAGUUAUUUAGAAUUUCUUUCUUUGAUUUAAAUUAGAUUAAUUUCAAUCAAAUAGAUGCAAAUGAAAAAACCAAUUAAUAAGAAGAUAAAUUUUUAGAAAAAUAAGCAAAUUGGGAGGCCAGAAGCGAGCAUUAGAUAUAUAACAAACAAUCACUUCAGUCAAAGCUCAUAGUAUAUAGCAAUCCAAUUCUUAUAAAAAAUACAUACACACACUUAAUGAAAUUAGAUAUCUCGGCAAAGUGCAUUCCAGUUGAUAAACUAUAAAAGUAACAUAUUUUAAUCCCAUUCUUAAUGUGUUGGAUGAUUUAUUAUUUAAUUUAGUGAAUUUGAUGCUCCUAAUCAUUUAAUUUCAUGUUUCUAUACUUAUGUGAGCAUAGGGGAACAAAAGGAGCGGAAAACGGGCCAAAAACGAACAAAACAGACCGAUUUAAGGAUCCACAUGGCUAAGACCAUUUCUGCACGGGCUGACCACACGCCCGUGUGUGCCACACGGGCUUGCCACACGCCCAUGUGCCAGCCCGUGUCGAAUUUGCUCCUUAUUUCCCAAACACGCAGAAAAUGCCAAUUUUUAGGGUUUCUAAGCAUUCUAAAGUCUAUAAAUACACACUAGAAGAGGACCUAAGGGGCACGCAAAGCUGAACGAAGAAAAGACUUGAAGAAUGCUAGUGGGUUCAACUCAGAAGUAGGAUCUCCUUCAAGACUGAAGAUCUCCAUUCAAUUUCUCUCGAAGUUUUUGGGUUUCUUUAUGUUUUCUUGUUUUCCUAAUUUUGAGAUGUUUUCCUCCCCAAGUAUGAACUAAAUUCCCUAGACAUCUAGGGAGGAUGAAACCUAAGGCUGAACUUAUUAUUUGAUUUUUCUGAAUUACAUGAUAAAUAUUUGUCCUUGAUCUCAAUUAUGUGUUCUUAUUUCAUGUUUUAAUGUUUUCAAGAUAUUAGUUCAUGAUUGGUGUGCUUAUUCAGUGGAGCAAAAGUCCCUAUUUAAGAGUAGAUCUAGCAUAAUUGAAUAGAGUUGCAUGCAAUCCUAGAAAUAGGACGACAUAAACCUAUCGAAUUAGAGUCAAAUCUAAUAGGAGAAUCCAUAGAUCGGAUUAGAGUCAAACCUAAUAGGAGAAUCCAUAGAUCGAGUUAAUACGAUAAUAGGGGUUUUAAUUAGAAAGAGAUUUCAAUUAAUCAACAUAGAGUUAGUUGUUUUUAUUCUCGAAACAGAUAUUAACAAAAGUUAGGGAUUUCUACAGAUCAAGACAAGUGAAUAAAUCGUUUAAUUCAGAUUUAGAAUAAUAAAAUAUUCGGGUGGGAUGGGCGUCUUAUAGUUUGAACUUGUGUCAAAUGAGUACCUGAUAAAAAAUUUAAUCAUCACUCCAUAUAAGUCAAUAUUAGUAUAACUCUGUUUUAUACAUUUUGUUACAAGAAAUCGUACAUAUUUUUGUCAUGUCAUAUAAAAGUAUACAUGUUAUAUGUCUUUUUAUAAAAUAUAUGGUAUUUAAUACUUUAUAAUGAUUUUGAUUAAAAAAACUUUAUGGAAUGAUUAAUAUCAUUGAUUAAACGGUUAAAAGUUUCAAAAUGAUUAAUGUUGACUCUUUUUAUAUAAUAUUCGGGUGGGGAUGGGAGUCAUAUAGUUUGAACUUGUGUUAAAUGGGUACUUGAUAAAAAAGUUUAAUCAUCAUUCCACAUAAGCCAAGAUUAGUAUAAAUCUGUUUUAUACAUUUUGUUAUAAGAAAUCGUACAUAUUUUUGUUAUGUCAUAUAAAAGUAUACAUGUUAUAUAUUUUGAUUGACAUUGAAUCAUCUAAUUUUUAAUAGAAAUAGUGAGUUGUAAAUUUAAAGGGGUUAUUUUACUACUUAAAUAAUGAAUUUAACCAUUUAACAUCUAAUGAGUUACUUAGAAUUUCUUUCUUUGUUUUAUAUUGAUUAAUUUCAAUCAAAUAGAUGUAAAUGACCAAUUAAUAAGAAGAUAAAUUUUUGAAAAAAUAAGCAAAUUGGGAGGCCGGAAGCCAGCAUUAGAUAUAUAGCAAACACACAAUGAAAUUAGAUGUCUCGGCAAAGUGCAUUCCAGCGCUGAUUAGGUAAACCUACAUCAAGAAAAAAAAUGGUAUGUAUAUAUCAUCAUCUCUCAUGUAUAAUAAUUAAAAAUAUGAAAUAAUAAAAUGAUAUUAAAAAUUUAGUUUUUCUAGAAAAAUAUUCAAAAUUCUUAUUUUUUUAUAUUUUAAUUAUAAUUUUUAUGGUAAUUGAAGAUAUAUUCUUCUAUUAUGUUAUUUUAUCAAUAUUAUAUCAAUCUCUAACUCUAUGGGUGAAAAAGAAAAGAAAAAAGAAUGUAAAAAUUAUUAUUUUAUAGAAAUAAAUACCUCACGUGAUGUUGGCCCUUGGGAUCGGAUUAAUAAUGUGGAUGGAGGGAAUGUGGCGCACUUUAUAGAAAUCCUCUCCUUCUUUUCCAUCUAUCACUUCAAUCCUUUCUUUCAAUGACGAAGAUAUUCCUAACAUUAAAUUCAAUUCUUGGAGAGUAGUAAUGUACCUCAAUCCUUCUGGAAGCAUUCUUAAACUCUUAACAUGGAUCAACUCCAAUUCUCGAAGGCAUGGCAUUGCACCUUCUUCUAUUUCCCACUCCUCCAGCUUUCUUAAAAUCAUUCCAAGAAAAUCAAGUUUAGGAAAUCCAUUUGCAGAGCACACCAUUUUACUCCCAAUAUAUGCUCCCUCCAAAUAGAGAAUCCUCAAAUGACAUAGCUUUUCUAAUACCGCCAUUGGAUCUUGUCUCAGCUCAUUAUCAAAGUUAAUUUGACAAUAUUUGAUGGAAGAAAUUUCAAAACAUGACCGUUCGGAUGUGUCUCAUCUUCUAUCCGACCCAGUAAUUUCAGUUUGGAGAGGUGAUAAUAUUGAGAAAGGAGUUCUAAGUCUAGGUGUGAGCCUGAGCCAUAAAAAAAACGUAAGGACACUGACCUAAGGCGUUGCAAUUUGGCUAGCAAGAUUAGGGUAGGCUUCACAUAUUUUGCUCUGGUAAAUGCUAUUCCUAAACUCUGAAUAUUAGUCCACCUAUGCACCGCAUUAUUUUCAACCGCCUUCUCAUCCACCACUAUGACCUUCAAAGUUUCAAUAUUUUUUGAAGUGAACCCUUGCCGCCAACGAAAUCCAUAGACAUACGAUUUUAUUACAAUAUGCCUUAAACGUUCUAACUUAAACACACCAUCUGGAAUUACAAUGUCAUCACAAAACUUGAUGUAUAAAGUGUAUAGAUUCUUCAACCUGCCAAAAGAUCGCGGCAAAAUCAUUUUGUUAUUGUAGUAUAACUUCAAGUAUCUCAAAUGUUGGAGAUUACCAAUUUCAGUCGACACAUUCAAUUCUUGGAGAGUAGUAAUGUACCUCAAUCCUUCUGGAAGCAUCCUUAAACUCUGUCCAUCGGCCAACUUCAAUUCUCGAAGGCAUGGCAUUGCACCUUCUUCUAUUUCCCACUCCUCCAACUCAAAUAACCAAGACAUUUGAAGAUAAUCAAGUUUAGGAAAUCCAUUUGCAGAGCACACCAUUUUACUCCCAAUAUAUGCUUGUUGCAAAUGGAGAAUCCUCAAAUGACAUAGCUUUUCUAAUACGACCAUUGGAUCUUGUCUCAGCCUACAGGUGCACAAAGUUAAAUUGACAAUAUUUGAUGGAAGAAAUUUCAAAACAUGACCGUUCGGAUGUGGCUCAUCUUCUAUCCGCCCCCAUAAUUUCAGUUUGGAGAGGUGAUAAUAUUGAGAAAGGGGUUCUAAGUCUAGGUGUGAGACAUCAAAAAAACUUAAGGACACUGACCUAAGGCGUUGCGAUUUGGCUAGCAAGAUUAGGGUAGGCUUCAUAUAUUGUGCUCUGGUAAAUGCCAUUCCUAAACUCUGAAUAUUAGUCCACCUAAGCACCGCAUUAUUUUCAGCCGCCUUCUCAUCCACCACCAUGUACUUCAAAGUUUCAAUAUUUUUUGAAGUGAACCCUUGCCGCAACCGAAAUCCAUAUAAGGGUAAUGUCCCAUUCAAUUUUAUUACAAUAUGCCUUAAACGUUCUAACUUAAACACACCAUCUGGAAUUACAAUGUCAUAACAAUACUUGAUGUAUAAAGUGUACAGAUUCUUCAACCUGCCAAUAGAUCGCGGCAAAAUCAUUUUGUUAUUGUAGUAUAACUUCAAGUAUCUCAAAUGUUGGAGAUUACCAAUUUCAGCUGACACAUGCCACUCUUCAUAACUGCAUUUUCCUUUUUGAAGAGUCAACACCCUUAAAAAUUCGAAGCUUUUGUAUUUUGAAAUGUGGAAUUCAACCGGUUCCACAUUUUGAGGAAACAACAAAGAACGUAAUUUUGGAUGUUCUCCCUUCAAAUAAACAAAAUUCCGUUCACUAGGAUGAAUAGAAAUUCUUCGUAGCAUAGAUUUUGCCAAUGUCACAUCAUAUUCAUGCAGUGGUUGUUGAAUAAUUUCCAAGAACUUCUCCUCUCUUGCUUUCUUCGUGCAUAAGUCUCUCAAGAGAUCAUGCAUUCGACAUGUCUCGACAUUUGUUCCUGUAUAGUCUCGCCUGCUAACUUGAACUAAGCUCCUAUCUAUAAGCUCUUCUAGGAAAUUUUCACCUAAAUCCUCCAUCAAGAAUUCUUCGGUUUUCGGAAUGAAACCUUCAGCGAUCCAUAAUCGAAUGAGUUCUUUUUUAGGUAUCUCCCAAUCUUCUGGAUAAUGACUAAGAUACAAAAAGCAUGGUUUUAAAGGAUAAGGCAAGUCAUUGUAGCUUAAAACCAAAAUUCUGUUCACUGCACCAUAUUGACGAUCUUGGUGUGGGAGCUCAUUUAAGUGUCCAUGGAUGUUUUUAUGAACCAUCUCCCAUUGAGCCACGGACUGUUUUGUUGCCAGCAAGCAACCCAACACAACAAUUGCUAAAGGCAAGCCUCCACAUUUUUUCACCAUCUCUUUUCCAAGCUUCACAAAUUCUUCUGAGCAGCAUUGAGAACCCAUUUUGCUCCGUGGGAAUGCUUUCUUACACAAAAGAUUCCAACUUUCAUCAUCCGUAAGAAAUGAGAGCUCGAUGGGAGUGUUGCAAGAAUCGGCUCGUGAAGCCACAUUCCUGUUGCGUGUUGUGAACAAUAUUUUGCUUCCCUUUCUUCCUCGUGGAAAAGCAGGUUUAAGAAUAUCCCAAUCCUCGCUUCUCCAAAUAUCAUCGAGGACCACCAAAUACCGCUUUUCUUUCAAAGCAUCAAAAAGCGUUCUCGUCAGCUCAAUCUCGUCCAUUUUCUCAAUUUUCUCCCUAUCAUUGUUAGAAGGAGAGAGAACUUUCUUCAAGACACUAAGCAAAACCUCUCUCGGCUUACAUUGUUGAGAGAUAGAAAACCAAGCCAAGAAAUCAAAAUGGCGUCUCACAUCAACAUGAUUAUAUACUUUUCUGGCAAGAGUAGUCUUACCGAGGCCCCCCAUGCCGACUAUGGAAACUACGGCGUGGGGUCUAUCUUCUUCAGUCAUCAAUUUGGUCAUGAUAUCCUUGGUGCUAACCUCCAAGCUAACAACGUCCUCUUCCUCGACAUGUGAGUAUGUCCUUCUAAACUGUUGCUGCACCUUGAAAAUUGAGCUAGAGCCUUCUCCAUCAUCGGGUAUUUCAAAAGCUGGAAGAUUCUCGGAAAUGUUUUGGAGCUUGGUCAUGAUUGCUUUGAGCUGCAACCCGAUUUUGUGCAGAUGAUAAGGUUUGGUGAAAAUGGAGGUGAAUCUCUUGACAAUCCCAUGAAAACCUCGUUGAUAUGCUGCUUUAAGAAUAAAAGAGUCGAUGACAUCUUCA